CCUGGUAGCUCAGCUGGUAAAGAAUCUGCCUGCAGUGCAGAAGACCUGGGUUCAAUUCCUGGGUCAGGA
rnacentral:tRNA from 1 species